rnacentral:rRNA from 1 species
UACGUAGGGUGCAAGCGUUUGUCCGGAAUUAUUGGGCGUAAAGAGCUCGUAGGCGGUUUGUCGCGUCUGCUGUGAAAACCCGAGGCUCAACCUCGGGCCUGCAGUGGGUACGGGCAGACUAGAGUGCGGUAGGGGAGAUUGGAAUUCCUGGUGUAGCGGUGGAAUGCGCAGAUAUCAGGAGGAACACCAAUGGCGAAGGCAGAUCUCUGGGCCGUAACUGACGCUGGAGGAGCGAAAGCGUGGGGAGCGAACAGG